UACGGAGGGUGCAAGCGUUAUCCGGAUUUACUGGGUUAAAGGGUGCGUAGGUGGACUAGUAAGUCAGUGGUGAAAUCUCCGGGCUUAACCCGGAAACUGCCAUUGAUACUAUUGGUCUUGAAUACUUUGGAGGUAAGCGGAAUAUGUCAUGUAGCGGUGAAAUGCUUAGAUAUGACAUAGAACACCAAUGCGAAAGGCAGCUUCUUACACAGUG
rnacentral:rRNA from 1 species